AUUGAACGCUGGCGGCAGGCCUAACACAUGCAAGUCGAACGGUAACAGGAAGACGCUUGCUUCUUUGCUGACGAGUGGCGGACGGGUGAGUAAUGUCUGGGAAACUGCCUGAUGGAGGGGGAUAACUACUGGAAACGGUAGCUAAUACCGCAUAACGUCGCAAGACCAAAGAGGGGGACCUUCGGGCCUCUUGCCAUCGGAUGUGCCCAGAUGGGAUUAGCUAGUAGGUGGGGUAACGGCUCACCUAGGCGACGAUCCCUAGCUGGUCUGAGAGGAUGACCGGCCACACUGGAACUGAGACACGGUCCAGACUCCUACGGGAGGCAGCAGUGGGGAAUAUUGCACAAUGGGCGCAAGCCUGAUGCAGCCAUGCCGCGUGUAUGAAGAAGGCCUUCGGGUUGUAAAGUACUUUCAGCGGGGAGGAAGGGAGUAAAGUUAAUACCUUCGCUCAUUGACGUUACCCGCAGAAGAAGCACCGGCUAACUCCGUG
rnacentral:rRNA from 1 species